CCUAACAGUUAGGCUUCGGCCUGCUAGCUCUACCCAUGUCUUUUGAGUACCGUAUGCUUCCUCGGUGGGUUCGCCUGCCGAUUGGACAUCUUAAAACCUUUUGCUAGUUGCAAUCAGCGUCAUGAAAAAACUUAAUAGUUA
rnacentral:misc_RNA from 1 species